rnacentral:rRNA from 1 species
GAUGAACGCUGGCGGCGUGCCUAAUACAUGCAAGUCGAGCGAACGGACGAGAAGCUUGCUUUUCUGAUGUUAGCGGCGGACGGGUGAGUAACACGUGGAUAACCUACCUAUAAGACUGGGAUAACUUCGGGAAACCGGAGCUAAUACCGGAUAAUAUUUUGGACCGCAUGGUUCAAAAGUGAAAGACGGUCUUGCUGUCACCUAUAGAUGGAUCCGCGCUGCAUUAGCUAGUUGGUAAGGUAACGGCUUACCAAGGCAACGAUGCAUAGCCGACCUGAGAGGGUGAUCGGCCACACUGGAACUGAGACACGGUCCAGACUCCUACGGGAGGCAGCAGUAGGGAAUCUUCCGCAAUGGGCGAAAGCCUGACGGAGCAACGCCGCGUGAGUGAUGAAGGUCUUCGGAUCGUAAAACUCUGUUAUUAGGGAAGAACAUAUGUGUAAGUAACUGUGCACAUCUUGACGGUACCUAAUCAGAAAGCCACGGCUAACUACGUG